rnacentral:lncRNA from 1 species
AGGAAACAACUCACCUGAGUUCUUCUCCGUCAACUCUUUGGACUGUUUGAAGAAACUAGACGAAGGUUUCAGUCGACACACGAUAAGAUGUCUGGGUGUCCCAGAGGUCUUCCAGGUGGAGCUGCAGCGUGAGAAACCCUCCAAUCAGAGCAGUCCAGUACGUUAGUCUUCACUUUUUAUUUACGUGUGGAAAGUUCCUCGUGUUGCAUUCACAGGACAAAGGAAGAACAAACACACACUGACAACAACAACCACAGUUACACAGAGAGAAGAAACAAAGCUCUUAUUGUGAAAAUCUGCUUCCUGUCAGGUGGGGCUGUGACUCAUCAGGAAACAACUCACCUGAGUUCUUCUCCGUCAACUCUUUGGACUGUUUGAAGAAACUGUAAGUUGCUGUUUGAUACGUUAACACCACGUUAGUCUUUGGUCUCUUCAGGGUUAGUUUCUGGCUCUGUAAAG